UAAGAUGCACAUUUUGGCCAUCGCCUCAACGGCUCACUUCACAAAAACCGUAUUCAAUAGUGUUGAAAGCUAACAGCUUUUAGUGACCAAUGUCCCGCAUCAAAUAGCCCGUCUUUUUCAAUAUU
ensembl:ncRNA W01C8.10 ncRNA